rnacentral:rRNA from 1 species
CCUUAAGGAUCGUCGAAGACUACGACGUUGAUAGGCUUCAGGUGUAAGUGCGGUAACGUAUUCAGCCGAGAAGUACUAAUCAUCCGUUUGGCUUGAUUCCUAU